CUUGCAGACAGUUCUCAUUCCCACUCCCAGCCACAGGCAACCACUCAUCUGCCUUCUGUCUCUCUAGAUUUUCCUUUUCUGAACAUUUUAUAUAAAUACAAUCGCACAAUAGUUAGUCUUUUGCACUGGCUUCUGUCACAUAGCAUGAUGUUUUUGAAGUUUAGAAACCAGCUUCCAUACACCAAAUUACAACAUCAGUUCAAGACUGAAUUUAGUCAUCUUUCAGCCAACCAAGAAGCAUAUAAAGGCUGCAGGAUACCCUAGGUUCCACUUUCUAGAUGAUUCUCUUUGGCCGUUCUGGAGAAUCC
rnacentral:lncRNA from 10 species